rnacentral:rRNA from 1 species
ACGCUCGACACCUACGGGAGGGCAGCAGUCGGGAAUAUUGCGCAAUGGAGGAAACUCUGACGCAGUGACGCCGCGUGCAGGAAGAAGGUUUUCGGAUUGUAAACUGCUUUAGACAGGGAAGAAAGAAAUGACAGUACCUGUAGAAUAAGCUCCGGCUAACUACGUGCCGCAGCCGCGGUAAUCUGAGCGGGCUGGCAAGGC